rnacentral:lncRNA from 1 species
GCGCAUGGGGAACAAAUGUCCACAAAAAUCCUCGUGGGGUUUUUUUUUUGCGAUCACGCCCCGCCCCUAGGGCGUGUAUUUCAUUAAGCAGAAAAGAGUCCAACCCUAAACACAGCAACUAAAGUAACUGCAGUUACCUACAAGAAAGAACCUCCCCCUCCACUUGCCAAGCCAAAGUAUUACAUCGUAACAAAUUUGCUACCGAUCGGUCAAACCAAACAACCAGCUAAACAGCAAGCAGUGCAGCCAGGCUCCGGUUACCAGCCAAGCACCACAGCUCGGCCUCCUCCUGGAUCUCAGAAGCUAGCUGGAGCGCGUGUGUAGCAGCAUCGUCGAAGGUUCUCUUGUUUCUUUCCUUCCAGAGUCUCCACCCUACCAUGAAGAAUAGGGAAUCGAAGCCUUUACGUCGAUGUCGGGGGAUCAGUUUCCUCGCCGCCAGCCACCAGGGAAUGGCGUUCCCUGCAGGGUUAAGGUGCAAGGCAUCCAGCUGUGCCCAAAGAAGGCAACGAUGCCAAACCUCUCUACUGAAGACACAACCUAAAAG